rnacentral:rRNA from 1 species
UACGUAGGGGGCAAGCGUUGUCCGGAAUUAUUGGGCGUAAAGAGCGCGUAGGCGGUCCGAUAAGUCGGCUGUGAAAGUCAGGGGCUCAACCCUGGAAAGCCGGCCGAUACUGUCGGACUAGAGUCCGGAAGAGGCAAGUGGAAUUCCCGGUGUAGCGGUGAAAUGCGCAGAUAUCGGGAGGAACACCAAUGGCGAAGGCAGCUUGCUGGGACGGUACUGACGCUGAGGCGCGAAAGCGUGGGGAGCGAACAGG